AGUAAGGUCAGCUAAAUUAAGCUCUUGGGCCCAUACCCCAAAUAUGUUGGUUAAACUCCUUCCCUUACUA
rnacentral:tRNA from 1 species